CGUCGAGUGGGCGGGGUGUGACUGUAAAGCGAUUAUAAUGAGUCUGGGAAAAACAGCAGUGAGUGAGCAGAGGUUUGAGAAGAGGAGAUCGACAUUGAGGACUGAACAGCACAAAGGAUAGAAUUGAAUUAUUUUUUUUUGGUUCAAAAUGUCAGUUCAGGGUGUCGUUCGCCUUCCGCCCGAAGUCAUCUGGGACAGGCUCCAGCAAAUGUGAAUUCUUCAUUUGACUCCGAUUUGCCAAAAGAACACCAUUGCAUGGACACACUCAACUUCUUGUAGAAAGUCUUCCCUGAAGAGUGACAGAUGUGAAAACCGCAAAGGGGAGCUAACUUCAUCAUCUUCUAUUGUCACUUGCAAUAGCCAAGCCGAUACUUUUUGCCCAUGUUUAAAACAACAACACUCAGUGUUGAUGUACUCACAGGAGAGUUGACAUUUCACUCUCACCCACGUCACACAAACACGCCCAGACGGGUCCUAAAGGCACCGAUGACCAUGUAAUCCCUGUGUGCAUGGCGUCAUUUCCAGUCAGUGGGUGGGUCAUCAGUGACUUGUGAAACAUACCAGACACAAAGUUCUGCAAAGCCACCACGAUUCACAAACAACACACUCCUCUCCUCUCCCUCACUUUUGCCUCACUGUCGCUCCAGCAGCCCGAGGGUCAAGUCACACAUUCACGUCCCAAAAAG